GAUGAACGCUAGCGGCAGGCUUAAUACAUGCAAGUCGAGGGGUAGCAAGAUUGUAGCAAUACAAUUGUUGACGACCGGCAAACGGGUGCGGAACACGUACACAACCUUCCUACAAGUGGGGAAUAGCCCAGAGAAAUUUGGAUUAAUACCCCGUAACAUAGCGAUGUGGCAUCACAUUGCUAUUAUAGCUUCGGCGCUUGUUGAUGGGUGUGCGGCUGAUUAGAUAGUUGGCGGGGUAACGGCCCACCAAGUCUACGAUCAGUAGCUGAUGUGAGAGCAUGAUCAGCCACACGGGCACUGAGACACGGGCCCGACUCCUACGGGAGGCAGCAGUAAGGAAUAUUGGACAAUGGACGCAAGUCUGAUCCAGCCAUGCCGCGUGAAGGAUUAAGGUCCUCUGGAUUGUAAACUUCUUUUAUAAGGGACGAAAAAAGGUCUUUCUAGAUCGUCUGACGGUACCUUAUGAAUAAGCACUGACUAACUCUGUGCCAGCAGCCGCCGUAAAAC
rnacentral:rRNA from 1 species